rnacentral:rRNA from 1 species
GACGGCAGAAUGAUGGUCAGGCUGACGACCUUACCGGACGAGCCGAGAGGAGGUGCAUGGCCGUCGCCAGUGCGUGCCGUGAGGUGUCCUGUUAAUUCAGGCAACGGACGAGACCCGCGCCCCUAGUUGCCAUCGGCCGAAAGGCGCUGGGCACUCUAGGGGGACUGCCCCCGAAAGGGGGAGGAAGGAGCGGGCUACGGCAGGUCGGUAUGCCCCGAAUCCCCCGGGCCGCACGCGACGUUCAAUGGCGGAGACAGUGGGAUGCGACCCCGAAAGGGGAAGCAAAUCCGUAAACUCCGCCUCAGUAGGAAUCGAGGGUUGCAACUCGCCCUCGUGAACGCGGAAUCCCUA